GAUGAACGCUGGCGGCGUGCCUAAUACAUGCAAGUCGAGCGAACGGACGAGAAGCUUGCUUCUCUGAUGUUAGCGGCGGACGGGUGAGUAACACGUGGAUAACCUACCUAUAAGACUGGGAUAACUUCGGGAAACCGUAGCUAAUACCGGAUAAUAUUUUGAACCGCAUGGUUCAAAAGUGAAAGACGGUCUUGCUGUCACUUAUAGAUGGAUCCGCGCUGCAUUAGCUAGUUGGUAAGGUAACGGCUUACCAAGGCAACGAUGCAUAGCCGACCUGAGAGGGUGAUCGGCCACACUGGAACUGAGACACGUUCCAGACUCCUACGGGAGGCAGCAGUAGGGAAUCUUCCGCAAUGGGCGAAAGCCUGACGGAGCAACGCCGCGUGAGUGGUGAAGGUCUUCGGAUCGUAAAACUCUGUUAUUAGGGAAGAACAUAUGUGUAAGUAACUGUGCACAUCUUGACGGUACCUAAUCAGAAAGCCACGGCUAACUACGUG
rnacentral:rRNA from 1 species